GAGUUUGAGCAAGCUCUGGGAGAUUGUGAAGGACAGGGCUGCCUGGGGUGCUGUGGUUCAUGGGGUCACAGAGUCACAUAUGACUGAGUGACUGAACAACAACAAACUUGGAUCUACCUCAGGUAGGAGUUCACUAAAUGUUAGUUCUUAUAAGCAUUCACUUACUAUUAUAAUAAUCUCACUUACUACUUAUUGUAAUAUUCAUGGAGCUUUUUGUGCUGACGCUGCAACUUCCCAGGUACUCAUCUCUUUUCUGCUUCUUGUUUGCUGGUUCCAUGUAACUUUUUUUUACCCAGUAUUCUCUGUAAGCCUCUGGUGACUGCAUGCUAAUUUAAAACAUAAAAGCUUUUGUCAAAUGUGAAUUGCAAAACAUAUAUGAAUUUUUACCCCUACUCUCAGUAUGCACAUGCUUUUGAGAAGCGAGCAGAAAUUCUGGAGAAAUGUGUCCUCUAGUUACCUUUCUUAUUCACUCCUCACUGCUUCAGUCUACCAUUUGUGAUACUGAAUAAAAUACUUAGUGUUCUAUGAGUUUAGGACAGCCUUGAAAUUUAUAUAAUUUUCAUGAUAAAACAUUGGGCAUCAUUAUCAUGAUAAUGAUUUUACCAGAAACAAAUUAUUGCUGCAGUCAUAGGCUAAGUGUAUAAGCUACAUUAAUUAUGUCAUUUGAUAAUUAUAAAAACCUUCUGAGUUUGGAAUUUCAUUACCAGUUUAUAGCUAAGGAAACAAUGUCUUGAGAGAUUAAGUGACAUGUCCAAAGUCCCAAAGCAUGUAGUAGAAUCAAGACUGGGACUCAGAUCUGUGACCCCCAAACCUGUAAUCUAACCACUGCUCUUUCUGGGUUCCGUCUACCCAGCAUUGCUUAGACCACUAGCACCUUGGUUCAGCUACAUUAAGUAUGGGUAUAAAUAGUAAAUUGAUUCAUAGUGGGGGGGGACCUCAAAAAGCUGAACUCUUUAUGUCUGAAGUAUUCAGACAAAUCAUGGAGUUAAUUAUAUAUUCUAAAAUUAUGCAAAUGAUCUUUUUAGUUGUGAAUUAAUCAAUGUUAAUCACUUGAAAAAUAGCUUUUAAGUCCUUUUUUUUUUCUUCUUAGAAAUGUGUCAGAGUAGUUGAAAUUCUCUUAGUAAGCUUCCUUUUAAAAAAUUCCUCUUUUUUUUUUUCCUGGCAGAUGAAGACUACUUGAGUUAUUUUGGUGUUGAGCAACAGUCUCAGUAGGUGAUUAAAUUAGAGGCAGGUGUAAAACCCCCAAGAGUUCCUAGGGCUCUGUUUUCUGAUCACUGGGGUUAUGGAUCACGAAUACAUUUCUGACACUUCCUUUUGUGUAAGGUCAAAAGAUACUAAUGUAAGCUGCUAUUUAGAAAGAAGAGUCAAUAAAGGAGUAGAAUGAAUAUUGGUUGAGGAAGAUAUGGUUCAUCGUCUUAUUUGAAUUCAAAAGCAACACCUUCUCAGCUGUGGAUAUUUCAAGUGCACCGGUUAAGAAAAAUGCAAAUAGAGCAAAUAAAAUGGCAAUCCUCUUUUCUUAUUGGCAAACAGUAAACCUGGCAGCUCUCUGUUCCUUUUCAAAAGACGUUAAUCUAGUGAUAUUAAGCAAGGUUUUUGAAGGUCCUCUAGUGAAUUAAACAUUCCAGUUAUUUACAUUUGUAAUUUUCUGAAAACAUCAGAACUGCAGGAAUUCCAUUAUAACAUGGGAGAAAUGCUUGAAGCCCAUCAUGAAAGGGAUAUUUGAACUAAGGACCAUCUCAAGUUGUUAUUUAUUUAUUUUCAGGUAUGGUUAGAGAUGUAUUUUCAGUCUGUAUUUUGUGCCAUGGAUAUAUAUUUUUCCUCCUAAAUAGCAUAUCAGAGUACUAUUUUUAAUGUAAAAAUUCUUAAGAUGUAUUGCUCUUAGGCAUCUGGGUUUUAGCAUGUCUUUUUUUUUUCCUCUCCACUUCCAAAUACUGCAUUUUUUUUUUUUGUAAAAAAGUCCUUAAAUGUAAAUCUUUGUUUUGUUUUUGCAUUCUGUGAUUCUUAAUCUCAGAAGUUUUAUAUGAUAUGAAAAGCAGAUUAAUUUUUAAUCAGAUAUGGUUUCAUUUCUCCACUGAGAAAAGGAUAUGUGGUAGCUUACUUAAAUCACUUAGUUUCACCUUACUUUCUUAACCUCCUGUAGGGAAAGCAAAUUAGCCAAGAUGGCGUGAUCAGGCUCUCUCACCCCAUGUCCUCUCACGCUCGCCCCACAUUUUGUAAAUGACUUAUGUAACAGCUGAGAUCAUUUAUAGCACUGCACGCACAAUACAAGCACCACCUGAAAGACUCUUGCAGUUGAGUUGCGUUACGGCUGUGUCCACUGGGUCCACCAUGACAGAAUACGGCAUGUCCGCUGCUGCUGCCUUGCCGUUCAGGAGAGAAUAAACACGUUUGCAGUUCCUACAGUUCCUCACGACUUCUUCCUGCUGUGUCUUGUCUAACCUGAGUUCUGCAAACAGUGAGACCCCUCCCAAGUAUCUCCAUCUCUGAGUUCAAGUAGGCCGACUAGACCUGCCUCCUGCUGAACUUGGCAGAAGCUCUGUCUCAAGCACAUUGUGAUUUUUGAGAUUUCAUAGAAUAUUUUCAAGAAAUGCUUGCAAGUAGAUCCUGUGGACUGAAAAUUUUUAAAUAUGUAUCAUUUUGGCUAAUGAAUAUGUGCAGUCAAGUAUACAUCUUGGUAAAAAGAUACUGCCAGUCACAAGGACAGGUCUCCUCUUCAUGGUUUAAAUAGUUCCAUAACCAUUCAAAAGCCCCACUUCUAAUAAAGAACACUCCUUGGUAGAUAAAUAACUCCAGAAUUUGUAGUCAGGCUAUGCACUGCAGUUGAUUUCACCUAGAGACAGCUUGGCAACCAGAAGGAUUUUUCAAAUGUCUGCAGUCUUCACUCAUCCCCAGGGAAUUCAAUUGACAAUACGUGGUGUCAGAAGUGGGAUACAAGGCAACCUAUGUAGUCUCUGCUUGCUCACCACCGACCCCCAACCUCUGGUACCUCCAUGGAUUCCAGUAAGGCCUAUUCAGCACCUGAAUAGGACUCAACUACUGUUUGUUGAAGGAAGGAGAAUCUAUGGAGACAGAAUGGAAAAAUUUAACAUCAAUCCAGAGGAUGGUUGGAUCAUCAUGGUGGCUCAUAUUUGUAUGCCCCAGUGACCAUCACCCGUUUUCUGGAAAGAGUGGUCCACAGCUCAGUGCCGUCUCCCAGCAUUCAGCACAAAUUAUCUCCUUGAAAGAUCUGAGCUUUCAUUUUGUGAACCACAGCUAGUGUUCAUGCCUGGUUUGAUAUCAUGGUUAUCAUGAACUUCUUCUGUGUAAAAAUCACCUGUUAAUCUCAACUGAUGCAUUUUUUAAGGUAGCGCCUUUCCGUGAGGGGUAUUCAUCAGGUCUGUUUUCUUUUGUGAGAGGUGUGCUCCAAACCUCUGUUCUCCUAGUGUGUGAAGACUGUCAAAAGUGGAGCUCAGCCUAACCUUCAGUUGCCCCCUCCGAAAUAACAAAUAAUCUCAAGGAAAGAGACGCUCAUCAGCUGAGCCUCUGUCCUCAACGGAUCACACCAAUCUGCAUUGUUUUAUUAGUUGUAAAAUAUAAGCUUUUAAAAAUAUUUUGGCCAGCUUUUCUUGUUGUCUUGGUGAGAGAAUUGGUACAAAUUACCCCAUUUGACAUUUCUAGAAGUGGAAUUGCUUUUCAUAUAAAAACCCAUUAUACCAAAUAAGGGGAAAAAAAAAAGGCACUGAAACUGAAUCCAAUUUCAUGAGACAUGUUUGUUUAACGGUAAUAUUCUAAUUCAAUUAGGAAAGCCUUUCGACAAACACAAAACCAUUCAAAAUAAUCCAGUCUUAAAAGGUUCAAGUAAAUAUUGGGAAAGAGAUGUCAUUUUAUAUUUUU